rnacentral:rRNA from 1 species
UACGUAGGUGACCAGCGUUGUCCGGAUUUACUGGGCGUAAAGAGCGCGCAGGCGGUCGUUCAAGUCGAGUGUGAAAGCCCCCGGCUCAACUGGGGAGGGUCAUUCGAUACUGAUCGACUCGAAGGCAGGAGAGGGAAGCGGAAUUCCCGGUGUAGUGGUGACAUGCGUAGAUAUCGGGAGGAACACCAGUGGCGAAGGCGGCUUCCUGGCCUGUUCUUGACGCUGAGGCGCGAAAGCUAGGGGAGCAAACGGG